GGCAAGGUGGUCGAGUGGUUUAAGACGUAAGACUUGAAAUCUUAUACCUUCGGGUGCGCGUGUUCGAAUCACGUCCUUGUCG